CUAUUUGUGAUUUCUGGCUAUUUAUUUUUCUUGACUUCAGUUUUCUUCAAAUCUGUUCUCCUCAAAACUCUACCAACUGAACCAUCACUGCCAUUUUAAAGCCCUCACAGAGAUUCUGACACAGGCCUCUACUGUGCAUGAAACAUGGAACCCAACACAACUCAUCUGAAGACACAAUCUACCUUUUAGACCUGAUGAAAUAGUGGAAAUUUUCCUGAUCAGCAUCUCAAUCAUCAGUUACCACACCUAGACAACUGGUUUCACAACAGGCAGCAGGAGUCUUGGCUUACUGUGACUGGUUAUUGUGAACUUUCAUUCUGUACUACGAAUACUGGACAGUGAGUGGGUACCUGAAA
rnacentral:lncRNA from 1 species